rnacentral:misc_RNA from 1 species
UAUUUGCACUCCAAAGUUUGAUCUACAACAAUGAUGUAAAAGUGGAAUACACUCAACUAAUGCCAUGAUUUAGGCCUAGGUAAAAAAAUGUGUCACUCAGAGUCUCAAUUUAGAGCAUAUUUUCCUAUAUUAUUCAUCCCUUCAGAUCCUGUGCAGAAGUUCAAAUUAAACAUCAUGAAAUAGUCUUCUGAUAUGAUCCACAGUUGCAGGCAUCAACGUCACAGGGCAUCGCUUAUACUGAGAGACAUAUCGGAAAACGCAGGAAUAGCAGAAGACUAAUCCUGAAACUGCCACCACUGAGGGAUUUGCACGCUUUUGUGAGCACAAAGGACACAGUGUUCUGUCUGUAGGUAGUGGAAUUCCAUCUUUCGCAACCUUUGGAGGUGGAGGAGGGGGUGGGGGUGGAUAAACAGUUGGAGCUGACAUCCUUUCUUCUGCUGACUGGUACCACCACUCCAUCAUUUUAAAGAAAAACACUGCCGCUAUUAGGCCAGUUUGAGCAUAGUCAAGAACUCCAUAUGCACAACUUAGUAAAGCACUUUGUACUGCCUUUAGCCAAGGAGGGCCACGAAGUCUCUCUCGUUCACGGCUUCUUAUUUUAGAAAUCCUAGAAGAAGUAUCCAUCAGCUCCUGUCCUGUAGCCCGACAGACAUGAAUGCCAAGGGCAUGGAGUCCUAGAGAGUAAAAUCCAGUAGCAUCCAGCAAAUACAGUAGCUGGUAAGCAAAUGAUAAACCUUCAUUUCCAGCAUGUAUCCAUGGGUAGCAAACAGCUACGAUCUUACGGAUUUUCUUUCUCAAACGAUCUCUAACUGAUUCUUCUGUAUCUGAACUGCUUGUUGAAACUAUGGAGUUUCCAUUUCCAUCAAAAUAGUCAGUGUCACCAAAUCUCUCAUCCUCAGUGCCCCAUAAACUAGCUUGAAGAGCAGCCUCUCUUUCUUUAUUGUAGAUUGAAUGCAAUUUUGAUCUGAGAUAUGGCAAUAUGACCAGAAACACAACUGAAAGAACUUUUUGGCGCUUCUCCAACCCAGUGUGAUUAAUUUCUUCUCUGGCGUCUAGACCUUUGUUAUCACCCUUAACUUUUAUGUUAACUGCCCUUCUUCGCAGACCAUAUAAAGACUCAGCAAAAGACCCAUCUGUAGUUCGUAAGCUAUGAGUUUCAAGAACUAGCGUAAGCAAAGCAAAGCACUCAUCCUCAUAAUCUAGAAUUUUGUGGAUGAAAGGUCUUCUUAAAGCUAAAACACCAAGGGAAUAAGUUAAAGCAGCUCUAAGACUAGAA